CUGUAGAAUAAAUCAGAGAUUGAUUUAUGAGUUAUUGAUUAUGUAAUUCGAGUAUUGAGUGAUUGAAUUAUAUGAGGAGUUAUUGGAAGAUUAUGAUUGUUUUUUAUUGAGAGUUAUGUGUAUUUUGGACAAAAGAAGUUGGUAAUUACAGAAAUUCUAUGAAUUGAGAUUGGUUGGACUGAAGUCUGUUAUUUCUGGUGUUGGAUGGAUAUUAUGUAUUUUGAGUGAUCUUUUGAGAGUGCAAGGUUGCACACUGUUGUUAUCAGUUGAAGAAGGAGUAUUGUUAUUGGGAGAAAGCAUUGUAGUGUUUCU
rnacentral:lncRNA from 1 species